AAGGACCGUGCACACGGAUAGCACCAUCCAAUAGCGAACGAAGCAUUAAGUUCAUUUCUACAGCAGUAGACACGUACGUCAUCACCAAACAGAGAUGUCCGGCAGAGGCGGUGGUCAGAUGGUUCGCUCGUCAGGACGUGAUGGUGGUCAGAUGGUGCGGUACUCGAGCGGUGCGGUCCAGUGCCACAGAGGUACUGCGGUCCAGACCCACACAGAGGUCCGCACGUCAUACGGGCCUGGUAACACGUCCUCAACAUCAUCGAAGACGGUCACCAUCCGGGAGCGUCCAUCUGGGGUCUCGACUACGAUCAAAUCUGUGCAAACGCACUUCGUACCUCACAAGUAGAUGCCCAGUUUUGCUUAAUAGUUCAUAAUGUUGCUAAAGUGAUGCAUUGGUGAAGAGGCCAAUCUUGUAGCUAAGUUUAACAAACCUUCACAUAUACGAUGCAAAUUUUGAAUUCACCUUCAUAUUCCUGCAUUCCGAUACGGUUUUCCUCAAGCUUAUCUUCUCGGAUAGUCCAGCCAUUGCAUACUCCGGGAAUUGCUAGUUGGUAUCGAAAAUUCUUCUCUUACUUCCUUGUCACGAUUUUAAGCCCGCUAUAGUGUUAGCGUAACUUUGAAAACUGGGAAUGUUCUCAUUUAAUUGGUUUAAGAUAUAAUUAAUAAAAUGUCCUCCAGUGUGGAGGAA
rnacentral:lncRNA from 1 species